UACGGAGGGUGCGAGCGUUAAUCGGAAUUACUGGGCGUAAAGCGCGCGUAGGCGGUUAGAUGAGUCCGUCGUGAAAGCCCUGGGCUUAACCUGGGAACUGCGGUGGAUACUGUCUGGCUAGAGUGUGGUAGAGGGCAGUGGAAUUUCCGGUGUAGCAGUGAAAUGCGUAGAGAUCGGAAGGAACACCAGUGGCGAAGGCGGCUGCCUGGACCAACACUGACGCUGAGGUGCGAAAGCGUGGGGAGCAAACAGG
rnacentral:rRNA from 1 species